UGCAUUUUCAAAAUUAUUUAGUUUAUUUUUUAUUUAUGUGCUAUUUGGAAGUGAGUACUUAAAUCUGUGAGAUUUUGGGCUUAUUCAACUAUAUUUUAGUUAAUAAUUUCUAGUUUAAUUAUAUUCUGGUCAGAAAGCAUAUUUUAUAUGAUUUCUACACUUUAAAUUUGUUAAGGUGUAUUUUAUAGCAGAAGCUUGGAUCUGACCUCUCAUUUCUUAUAACAUUAUUUUUAUUUCCCUUAUUCAUAAGCUAUAACCAUCUCUUAGAUAAAUUAAUAUUAGGAAUAAUAAAAUACUUUAUUUUUAUUUAUGUAUUCACUUAUCCUCUUUCUUUCUUUAUGUAGAUCCACGUUUCCAACCAUAUUACUUUUCUUCUUUCUGAAUAAUUUCUUUCAAUAUUUCUCAUAAGGCAGGUCUACUCACAGUGUUCUCUCAAUAUUUGUUUGUGAAAGUAUUUAUUUAUCUUCAGAUUUGAAGAAUGAUUUUGCUGAACAGAGCACUCUAAAUUGAUGAAAUUUUCCUUUCACUACUUCAAAUGUUUGUCUACCCUUUUCUUGCUUACAUUAUUUCUGAAAAUAAAAGUCCUAAAAUUCUUAUUUUUACACCUCUGUUGGUAAGGUGUUUAUUUUUUUCUUCCUCUGGCUUCUUUCAAGAUUAUCCCAUUGUCUUUGAUCUCCUGUAGUUUGAAUAUAAUAUGUCUGGAUAUGGUUGUGUCAAUAUUUUGUCAGCUUUUUGUUUUCUCAGCUUCCUGGAUCUGUAGUUUGAUGUCUAUCAUUCAAUUUGGGAAGUUUGCAGUCACUAUUGCUUUAAGUAUGUCUAUGUUACAUUCUCUUUUUUUUCUUCUUUCCAUAUUCCUAUUAAAAAUAUAUUGUGCUUUUAUGAUUAUUUCACAGUUAUUUGAUAUUCUGUUCUUCCUUUUUAAUUUUUUUCUUUGAAUUUCAGUUUUGGAAUUCUUUAUUGGCAUUUCUCGGUUCUUCAAAUUCAUGGAUUGUUUUCUCAUUUGUGCCUUUAGUGUAGCAAUGAGGUUUGAAGGGAGGGGAGAUGUUCAAAUUCCCAUGAUUAGGUCUGAGUGUUUUAGUGAGCAUGGUCUCAUGGGCUGUGACCUUCUUAAAUGGUGCUCAGUUUUUUUUUUUGUUGUUGUUGUUGUUUUGUUUUGUUUUCCUUAUAUAUGACAAGGAGCAUAGAGGGAGCUGGAGUCAGGGAUUUUUCUUCCCCAGGAUGGUUAGGCUCUAGCAGAACCCCAGUUGGUUAGGCUCUAGUAAAUCACCUUCUUUUGAAGUCAGGUGCUGAUAAAAGAAACAGAAUGCUCUGGGCAUAUUUCAAAAUGGCUCCCCAUAAUGACAGCAAGAAGGAAUUUUACUCUGAUCUUCAUUGUAAGGAUCUGGUAGGGUUCCUACAGAUAAACUUCAAAGACAUAUGAAACCCUCCUAAAAUUGGGCACCCCUGGCAUUUUUAACUCUUAAACUUAUCCACAUUGAGCUUUGAACAAUUUUUCAAUUGCAAUUUCUCUUUUCCAACUCUGGUACUGGUUUCCACAGGGAUCUCUGUUCCUGGGCUUCUGCUUCAGUAUGCUGUGAUUAUCUGCAUCUGCCUCUCUGCCUUUCCAAUUUCCAUCGCAGUAGUUUUCUGUUACCUGACCUCUUUGAUGAAUCUCAGAGAGUUGCUGAUUUUAUUCAGUUUAUUGAGUUUUUUGGUGUUAUUAUGACUUCCAAGCUGUUUACAUACUGCGUUAGAAAUCAAGUGUCACUUCUUUUGUUUUUAUUGCUGAAUAAUAUUCCAGUGUAUGUAUCUUAGAUUCCAGUGUACAUAUAUUAAAUCCUGGAAGACUUCCAAGUCUUAAAAAUUGAUGAUUUUUUAUUAUAUAACAUUCUCAGUUUGCCUUGGAGAUAUAUUUGAAAUCAAGCAUCAUUAUUUCUUGCUUGACAUAUCAGAGUGAAUUAGCUGUAAGGUCUGAUAAAUUUUUCAUCACCCUCACCUUCAGAUUAAAAAUUCUGAAAUGAUUGGUCAAUACCACAUUACAGAGUGGAAAAAUAUGGAAUUUAGUUUUGGGGGAUUCUGUAAUGGAAGAUGGAAUGUAUAUCUCAUCACAGCUCAUCUUGUAAGGAAAUUCUCAAAUGAAACGAAGGGUUUGAGAUGGUGGUCCAUCCAAAAUAAUAAUAAAAUUUAAUUGACCAGUAUCUAUAUACUUUGUCUCCAAAUACUUUUAUUUACAAAGAUUAAACUUAACUUCAGAUAAGAAGAUGAUGUAAUUUUACCACAGAAACCCGAAAAUGCAUUCCCAUGUCUCCUUUGGAGACAACUCAAGGCUUCAUGGGUUACUGAAGAUUCAAAGUAAGAUGUGUCACUAACUAAUGUCCUCUUUUCGUAUAGGUGUGUUAAAAUCCUGUCUUAUAUUCUGCUACUCAUGAGGUAUAUUUUUAAAUCUACUCUUAACAAUAGUACUAUAAUUGAUGAAUUAAAGGGAGCAGAAAGAAGAAGCAAGAUUUAAAAAAUAUAUAUGUGUUGAUGAUGCUCUAUUUUGUGGAGAGAUGGGUACACUGUAGCAUAGAGAAUGCUGUGGUUCACAUAUUGGUUUUUAAUUUUUUUAAUUAUUCAUUUUUCUUGUCAUAUAGGAAGGCUAUUUUCUCAAGCUCCUUUGUGACAUUAUAUGGACCCUGGGUUUAUAUUCUGGCCAAAAGGAUGUAGUAGGAACUUUUAAAUAUCUCUUGUAGGCCUGUCUACAAAAUUCUCAAACAAUAAGUCUUACUUUAUUUUUCCUAUCUGCAGCAAGUUUGGGUGUCACAUGCUUAAGAUUACAGUGACACAAAGAUUGAAUAAUGAUGGAUCUCUGAGAUGUUGCUUGACAGACAGCCUCCAUGAAGAGUCAAGCAAACUGUUUCGAACUAUGACAUAAGCAAAAAAAACCAAAAAAAUAUGGUAAGUCAAAAGAUAUUUCAGUUUUAUUUGUCACGGAAGAAGAGCCUGGCCUACUCUGACUAAUGCCUAUACCAUGAUACUGCACAAAGCAAUCAGUAAGUGAAAAAAUAGUAGCCUAAACAAAAUAUGACAGGCAGGGAAAGAAAACAUAAAUAUUCAAUUAUUUCGGUAAGGAAAUUUUAUGGUACUCUCCAUAAUGGAAAUGAGAAAUGAUCUAUUCUCACCACCACAUUGCCUUCUUGGGUUAUAGUGCAUAAUGGAGGACACAUAAUUUAGCAUAUUUGAUUAAAAUUUGGCCACUCAGGAUGGGCAAUAGCAUGAUAGAGGGAUCAAGGAUACAUAACCUUCAUCUUUUCUUUCAUGAACUUUUUGCUCAUAUGCCCAUUAAGUAAGUGCAAAGGUGGCAGGGAAAAGGCUGAUUUCCACAGAGUAGGCAAUCUUGCUGUUAUUAUAUAUUAUCUCCCCCUGUAAAGUUUUUAGAAAUUAUUCAUUUAUGGAAGGAGUUAGUAGUCUCCUCAUUUGAGCUGCAUGCUUCUGAGCAUGCCUACAUUUAUGCCUAGAUGAAUCUAACACCAAAACACAAAAUAGUACGGAGUUGCUCAAGUAACAUAGUCACUUGGCAUCUGAUGGACAGGUACUUAGUUUUCACCUGGGUCUGUUUGCAGAUCAGCAGCUAUUUCUCAAAAGGAGUAUAUUUACUUCCUGGAGCAAGAAUGACUGUGCUCCAAAACCACAUGGCCUCUCUGCUGUGAUUGUGAUUCUCUUGUUGGGUUUUGCAACAUUGCCACAAGAUCAAUAAAGUAUCUUGAUCGCUCACAGACACUCUUCACAUUUACUAUUCUGCCUUCAGUUCUUUCCAACUCCUGAAAUCUGUCCAUUGUGCCUUUGGGAUUCCCUGUUCAUUAUUAGUAAAACUCUUUAGAUUCUCAAUAGAUUCUUCAAACACUUAUUUUACUUUCUUCCUCCAAUGGAAACUUCGCUCUCUCUAAGUACACUGUUUACCCUGUAGCAUUCCAAAUUGUUUUUCUUGUAAACACACACAUACACAUACACAUGCAUACACAUGCAUGCACACACACAUACACAAGUUUGGAAGAAAAUGGGGGGAAUGAACACACUGAUAGUUCCUCUUGCCAAUUUUAGGCAUUUCCUCCUCUCUUCCUAACAAUUACCAAAAUUGAUUUGUGUAGUAUCAAAUGCCCACUGACCCUCAUUGUUGCAAUUAUAUCCCAAGCCCCAGGUCAUCUCCCUGCAUUUCUUUACAAUAUUACCUUCUAGUCAGAGUUAAUCUUGCCAGACACACUUUCUCUUAAUUCCUCUACUCAUUUUGUCCUCUGUUCUACCUUAAACAUCAACUUCACCUCACUCUUGGAUACUGCUUCCUAUCUUCCCAGACCACUCCCCUUAAUGCCUCAACUUUGAUACUCUUUGGCUACCCUAAGACAUCCAAUCCAUUAAUUCCACCACAUUUUUACUGUCUCUCAAGUGUCUGAAUUGUUUAACUUCUCUCAUUAACUAUGUAAAUUUUAGCGGUUAAUAUUUAGUCAUUCCUUCAAUGUAGCCUUCAGCAUUGGACAUGUCUUUUGUUCUUCCUAUUCUCAACAAAAUUACAACUUUACAGAAUCUUUGCUGCCUAUUUUAUAUCUGUGAUUGUGCGACUAAAUUUGGAGAAUAAUAUCUAAGAAUAAUAAAGAAGUCUUAUUUUAAAUUGGUAGUCAUAAACAUUACGUUGAUCCUUAAUGCUGAAAAACGGAAAAGCAAUAAUUAUUCUUCCAUUUUUCUUGAUGUUAGUUUUUCUCUUUUCUCAAUUAUUCAUCCCCCUACACAGAAAGAAACUGGAUUUACACUCUCACCUGAAACAAUCCCCACCUACGAAAAAUAGCAGACAAAAUAUAUGGUGGAAUAAAAGUUUUGAAGUCACUGUACAUGAGGUUAAAAAAACAGCAACCUUGGGAGACAGGCAGCAAAUAUGUUUUUUGUUUAUUUACCCAGUUUACAGCAUUUACUUUUUGGGCUGAGGCACAGAAAGAGAAACCUAGAUAGCGCCUGAUUGAUUGACUUUUUUUCUCCAUAAUAGGUAUUAUUUUCUUCCCUUUUUAAAUUACAUGCCUGAUAAUUUUUAUAAAAUACCAGACAUUGAGAUUUUACUUUCUUGUCUGUGAAACUUUUAAAUUACUUGGAAACAUUUUAUCCUUUGGGUAUUAACUUUAAGAAUUACUGGGUUAGAUCAGAGCAGUCUUUAGUCUAGGGCUAAUUAUCUUCCAUUACACAAGCAAAUUCCUUGAACUGAGGAGGUUGAGGUCAGUGUCUAGGGAGACAAGGGUAGAGAAGACAGCUGCACAGAGAACUCCUGAGAUCUGUAGAGUAUCCCCUUUUAUAACUCAGGAGAAUAUUGAUUGGAGAUUAGGUAGGAAACUACCUAAGGCUAGAAAAGAAGCAUUUGAAAGUAUCAGAGGAAACUUGGCCCAAUACUUAAACAAGGCUGGGAAUAGUGAGUUUCUAUUGGCCAGUUGGAAAACCACAUAAUUUGCAGGGCAUUGGAGAGAAUACAGAGAAGAAUUUUGCUUGUGUAAUGGAAGAUAAUUAGCCCUAGACUAAAGACUGCUCUGAUCUAACCCAGUAAUUCUUAAAGUUAAUACCCAAAGGAUAAAAUGUUUCCAAGUAAUUUAAAAGUUUCACAGACAAGAAAGUAAAAUCUCAAUGUCUGGUAUUUUAUAAAAAUUAUCAGGCAUGUAAUUUAAAAAGGGAAGAAAAUAAUACCUAUUAUGGAGAAAAAAAGUCAAUCAAUCAAAAUUGGCUCACACUACUCAGAUAUUAGAAAUAAUAGACAUGAGCAUAUUAGAAAGUUAUAACUGAAGUUCACAUGUUUAAAAAGUUAGAAAUAGUUAUCUAAGAUAUAAACAUGACCUAAGUCAAACUUCCAAAGAUGAAAUCAAUAUUGUCUGAGAUGAAAAAAAAUACACUGAAUGGGAUUAGAGGUAGAUUCAAUAUUGCAGAUAAGAAGAGUAGUAAAUUUGAAGCUACAACCACAGGACCUAUCUAAAAUGAAACACACCAAUAAAAAUCAUUAGAACAAGUGAAAAGUUAGUUCAUCACUGAGCUGUUGGACAACUUUAAUUGGCCUAAUAUAUGUGUAAUUUGAGUCCCUUAGAUAUAUGAAAGAAAGGCUGUUACAAAAAAUAUUUGAAGAAAUAAUGACUAAAAUAUUUCCAAAAUUGUCAAAAAAUAUAUAUCUAAAAACCCAAAAAGUUAAACAAGCCCAAGCACAAGAAACACAUAUAAAACUAUACCAAGAUAAGUAAUAAUUAAAUUUUUUUUAAAACAAUGAUAAAGACAAAAUUGACAUAUGGGGUCUAAUUAAACUUAAGAGCACCUGCACAGUAAAAUAGACUAUCAACAGAGUAAAUAGACAACCUACAGAAUGGGAGAAAAAUUUUGCAAACUAUGCAUCUGACAAAGGUUUAAUACCCAGCAUCUAUAAGAAACUUAAACAAAUUUACAAGAGAACAAACAACCUCAUUAAAAAGUACAAAAGAUAUGAAUAGACAUUUUUCAAAAGAAAAUAUACAUGCAGCCAACAAGAAUUUGAAAAAAAGCUCAACAUCACUGAUCAUUAGAGAAAUGUAAAUCAAAACCACAAUAAGAUAGUACCUCACACUAGUCAGAAUGGUUAUUAAGGUCAAAAAUAACAGAUGCUGAUGAGUUGUGGAGAAAAAUGAAUGCUUAUACACUGUUAGUGGGAGUGUAAAGUAGUUCAACCAUUGUGGAAAGCAGUAUGGUGAUUCCUCAAAGAGCUAACAGCAGAACUUCCAUUUGACCCAGCAAUCCCAUAACUGGUAUAUACUCAGAGAAAUAAAAAUCAUUCUACCAUAAAGUCACAUGCAUGUGAAUGUUCAUUGCAGCACUAUUCACAGCAGCAAACACAGGAAAUCAACACAAAUGCCCAUCAAUGACAAAUUGGGUAAAGAAAAUAUGGUAUAUAUACGUCAUGGACUACUAUGCAGUCAUAAAAAAGAAAAAAAGAUCAUGUCUUUUGCAGAAACAUGAAUAAAGGUGGGGACUAUUAGUUUUAGCAAACUAACACAGAAACAGAAAACUAAAUACCACAUGUUCUCAUUUAUAAGUGCAAGCUAAAUGAUGAGAACUCAUGAACACAAAGAAGGGAACAACAGACAUUUGGGUCUACUUGAGGGUGAAGGAUGGGAGGAGGGAGAGAAACAGCAAAAAAUAACUGUUGAGUACUAGGCUUAAUACCUGGCUGAUCUAAUAAUCUAUACAACAAAACCCUAUGACACUAGUUUACCUCAUAACAAACCUGCACAUGUACCCCUGAACCUAAAAUAAAAGUUAUAAAAAUAAAUAAAUAUAAUAUAUAUAUAAAAUUCUAAAAUAAAUAAGAGGCGAAAAAAACUUACUUUGUGCAAAGGAAAAAAUAAAAGUAAUAGCAGAUUUCUCAUCAGAAAAAUGCAAUAUAGAAAAAUGUAUUGCAACAUUUUCAAGUUACACAAAUAUAAAAAUAAACAAACAAACAUCUAAUUUGAUAUUCAGCAGAAAUAAGUUUCAAAAUUAGAGGGUAAAUUUCUAGUUCCAGGAUGUAAUGUUGUAGAUUCAAUUUUCCUUGCUACUCUUCUCUAAAUAAAACUAAAAUCCUUGGAAAUAAUUCAACAGCCGGCUAUUACAUGGUUCUGAAAUUUGGAAAGAAAGUGGACUGUCUAGGACAUCAGAGUUUGAAGAAAGAUGCCAGAAUGGAUUGCUUGUGUUUUUGUCUUAUCGAUCCCCAACUGUGGGUGAAGAUGCUUGUAACCCAGAACCACAAUUGAGAUGCAAUACUUGUUCUCAAUAAGACCUCAACAUAAAAGCCAAAACAUGGCCACCUGCAGAGGCAAGAUGUACCUCUGACUUCAUAUCUGGUUUAGAUGCCACACAUGUAUCAAGAGGAUAUGAGAAGGUUUAUCACUCACAUAAUGAGACUUUUUAGGAACCCAGGACAACUAACAAGCAGCCUAGCACCCCAGAUCGGUGAGGGAGAUGGAAGUUCCAUUGAAUGCCUGCUCAAGAGUCAAGUGCUGUGUGUUGUGAGAAUUGAUAUGAAUGCCUCGUUCACUAUCCCUGAUAUCCGGAGCUCUAAAAAGGAUAAGGGAUUCUAAAUGCAAAUGAAGGAGUCACUCAUCAAAGGCUUCUAUGGCUAAACUUCAUGACUAUAUACUAAACAGGAAUCUAACCAAGAAACUCACAGCUGCUCUUGAGAAGAUGCCCUGCUAAACCACUAAGACAAAAAUCACUUUUUAUGACCUCACCCAGUAUUUGAUAGAAAGAGAUUAGCAGCUUGCCUGUAAUCUACUCUCUUCAUUUACUGGGAGAUUCUCUGCAAAGAGAAGUGACCCAAUCAAAUUUCCUUGCCAAAUACAUUGUUGGUAUGUUGUGGUGGACGUAUCUGCAUAUAGAAUGCUUUAGCAAGAUAACCCUGGUCUCUUGAGAAUUGCUUAUGGUGAAGAAACCCGAAAUCCAUCGAUUCAUGGAGUAUGACUUUAUAAGAAAUAUCAUGUAACCUGUAACUGUUACAGUAUACAACGAAGUUUUGUGAAUAAACAGCUUACUUAUGUGCAAGUAAUGGCUGCAUACAUUUCUUACAGUCAUUGAUUGUUAAAUCUUGACCAGAAUCUGUCCUAAUGUGAGAAGAAAGGACCUAGAAAGCUUCUGGGUAAAUGAUUACAUAUAUAUACAUAAUCUUAUUCAAUUUCAUGUGCACUUGAGUUUAUUGGUAAAGUUUAAUAUAAAAUAAAUUUUCUAAUUUGUGUGAGUCUCAUUUGACAAUCCAACCAUGUGUCUUUGUUCAGGGUGUUCCCAAACAAAUUGUCUUUCAGAACUUUGAAGUACAAUGUCUAAUAAAGAAGAGGGAAUUAAAAAUAUGAUGAGAAUUUGAUGUCCUUUGUGUUAUCUCAGUUAUAUCCCUGUGACUUUGUACAAUUUAUAUAGCUGCUCACACACUAAACUCUCUGUUUCAUUAUUGGCCUCUUGGAAUAAAUUUUAC
rnacentral:lncRNA from 1 species